ACUACGGGGCGCAGCAGUGGGGAAUAUUGCACAAUGGGCGAAAGCCUGAUGCAGCAACGCCGCGUGAGCGAUGAAGGCCUUCGGGUCGUAAAGCUCUGUCCUCAAGGAAGAUAAUGACGGUACUUGAGGAGGAAGCCCCGGCUAACUACGUGCCAGCAGCCGCGGUAAUACGUAGGGGGCUAGCGUUAUCCGGAAUUCCUGGGCGGAAAGGGUGCGGAGGUGGUUUAUUAAGUCAGAGGUGAAAGGCUACGGCUCAACCGUAGUAAGCCUUUGAAACUGGGGAACUUGAGUGCAGGAGAGGAGAGUGGAAUUCCUAGUGUAGCGGUGAAAUGCGUAGAUAUUAGGAGGAACACCAGUUGCGAAGGCGGCUCUCUGGACUGUAACUGACACUGAGGCACGAAAGCGUGGGGAGCAAACAGGAUUAGAUACCCCUGUAGUC
rnacentral:rRNA from 1 species